AGAUUGAACGCUGGCGGCAUGCCUUACACAUGCAAGUCGAACGGCAGCACGGGAGCAAUCCUGGUGGCGAGUGGCGAACGGGUGAGUAAUAUAUCGGAACGUGCCCAGUCGUGGGGGAUAACGCAGCGAAAGCUGUGCUAAUACCGCAUACGAUCUAUGGAUGAAAGCGGGGGAUCGCAAGACCUCGCGCGAUUGGAGCGGCCGAUACCAGAUUAGCUAGUUGGUGGGGGUAAAAGCCUACCAAGGCGACGAUCUGUAGCUGGUCUGAGAGGACGACCAGCCACACUGGAACUGAGACACGGUCCAGACUCCUACGGGAGGCAGCAGUGGGGAAUUUUGGACAAGUGGGCGCAAGCCUGAUCCAGCAAUGCCGCGUGCAGA
rnacentral:rRNA from 1 species